rnacentral:lncRNA from 1 species
UUUUUAUAGAUAAAAGCUAUUUCUACUGGAAAGAUAAAAGUAAACAACAAUAUUGUUUCGCAUGAUCAUAAGCUAACAGCUAAAGAUGUUUUAAAAACUCAGAUUCAUAGACAUGAACCUCCAGUUAUUCAUGAAGAAAUUGAGUUCAUACAAAAUAAUGAAGAAGUAGUUGUUAUAAACAAGCCAGCUUCAAUACCUGUUCACCCAUGUGGAAGAUUUCGCCAUAACACUAUUGUAUUUAUUCUUGGAAAAGAUUAUGGAUUAUAUAAUUUGCAUACCAUCCAUCGAAUUGAUAGACUUACCUCAGGAGUUCUUAUGUUUGCAAAGACUUCCAAAAAGGCACGUGAACUAGAAGGGUUAGUUCGUGGAAGAUUGGUCAUCAAAGAAUAUCUUGCACGAGUUAUUGGCGAUUU